UACGUUAACGAACGAGACCUUGACCUGCUAAAUAGUUACGCGAUUCUCGAAUCGCGGCUAACUUCUUAGAGGGACUUUUGGUGACUAACCAAAGGAAGUUCGAGGCAAUAACAGGUCUGUGAUGCCCUUAGAUGUUCUGGGCCGCACGCGCGCUACACUGACAAAGGCAGCGAGUUUAUAGCCUGGAUCGGAAGGUCUGGGUAAUCUUGUGAAUCUUUGUCGUGAUGGGGAUAGAUCUUUGUAAUUAUCGAUCUUCAACGAGGAAUGCCUAGUAAGCGCGGGUCAUCAGCUCGCGUUGAUUACGUCCCUGCCCUUUGUACACACCGCCCGUCGCUAGUACCGAUUGAAUGGGUU
rnacentral:rRNA from 1 species